rnacentral:tRNA from 1 species
CGUCAGAUGGCUGAAAGCAAGCACUGGUCUCUUAAACCAUUCUAUAGUAACUAGCGACUACUUCUAACGG